rnacentral:rRNA from 1 species
CCUACGGGGGGCAGCAGUGGGGAAUAUUGCACAAUGGGCGAAAGCCUGAUGCAGCAACGCCGCGUGAAGGAAGAAGGGUUUCUGCUCGUAAACUUCUAUCAACAGGGACGAAAGAAAUUACGGUACCUGAAUAAGAAGCCCCGGCUAACUACGUGCCAGCAGCCGCGGUAAUACGUAGGGGGCAAGCGUUAUCCGGAUUUACUGGUUGUAAAGGGUGAGUAGGCGGCUUGGUAAGCCAGAUGUGAAAGGCUUGGGCUUAACCCGAGAAUUGCAUGUGAAACUAUCAAACUAGAGUACAGGGGAGGAAGGCGGAAGUCGAGGUGUAGGGGUGAAAUGCAUAGAUAUAAGGAAGAAAACCAGUGGCGAAGGCGGCUUUC